CAAGAUGUGAGUUUUUGCGUGUAUAUGUCUUUAACGAGCUAACUUUCUUUCCCAAGGGACGAGAACCGUUACUCACUCAUUAUCAAAUCAACAAGGAAUUUCCUCGGCUGUAUGGAUUCGAGGUGAUGAAGGGGACAUUGGACUACAUCUGGUAUUCCUCGGGUACACUGAAGGUGAAUGCUGUAUUACAACAUGUCACAGAAGACGUUAUCAAACCCCUGGUAGCCUGCCCGAACAAAUAUUUCCCGAGUGACCAUCUGUCUAUGAAAGCUUGCUUUGGUUUUAAAAACUCGUAAACCUUGUGUCGUCAACCUUGUAACAUUCUUGUUAUAUCGUGACUGUAUCAAACUUGUAACAGUGAUAAUGCCAUCAAGCUUGUUACAAGUUGUUAACAGCUUUUAACAAGCUUGUUGGUAUUAUCAGAAUUAUAGCAAGGUUGUUCCAACAAGUCCGAUACAGUUAAGACAUAACAAUAUUGUUACAACCUUGUGUCGUCAACCUUGUAACAUUCUUGUUAUAUCAUGACUGUAUCAGACGUGUCAGAACAAUCUUGUAACAAGUCUGAUAAUGUCAUCAAGCUUGUUACAAGUUGUUAACUUGUUGGUAUUAUCAAAAUUGUAGCAAGGUUGUUCCAACAAGUCCGAUACAGUCAUGACAUAACAAUAUUGCCAGCUUGUGAACAGAUUUGUGCACGCGUAAAAAUCUCACAUCUUGUAGCAAGUCUGUCAACAAGCCGUCAACAAGUUGUGUUCGCACUGCUUGUCCCAAGUUGUCAACAAGUUUGGAACAAGCUGUUAACAACCAUGUUGAUAUUAUCAGGCUUGUUACAAGGUUGUUUCAACAAGUCCGAUACAGUCAUGAUAUAACAAUUUUGUUACAACCUUGUGUCGUCAACCUUGUAACAUUCUUGUUUAUCAUGACUGUAUCAGACUUGUUAGAACAACCUUGUAGCAAGUCUGACAAUGCCAUCAAGCUUGUGUCAAGUUGUUAACAGCUUGUUCCAAACUUGUUACAACAACUGGGAACGAGCAGUGCGAAGACAACUUGUCAACAGCUCGUGGACAAAUUUGUAACAACUUGCUUGCAGACUUGUAACAACUUGUGCGUUUUUACGUGUGUAGCAACGACUUGUUUGCAGACCUUGUGUGCUUUCACUUGCGUAGUUGUAUUGCUACCGAUCUCCAAUUUUCUUAUCAUUGGCACUGUGCGAGAUUAGAUCAAACACCACACACGCAAAAAUCUCACAUCUUGUAACAAGUGUCUGUCAACAAGCCGUCAACAAGAUGUAUUCGCACUGCUUGUCCCGAGUUGUCAACAGGUUUGGUACAACUUGUUGACAACUUGUGACAACCUUGUCGAAAUUAUCAGACUUGUUGCAAGGUUUUUCUGACAAGUCCGUUACAUGCUUGAUAUAACAAGAUUGUUACAACCUUGUGUUGGCAACCUUGUAACAUUCUUGUUAUAUCAUGGCUGUAACAAACUUGUUAGCACAGUCUUGUAACAAGGCUGAUAAUGCCAUCAAGCUUGUUACAAGUUGUUAACAGCUUGAUUCAAAGUUGUUGCAACAAACUGGGAACAAGCAGUGCGAACACAACUUGUUGACAGCUUGUGAACAGACUUGUAACAACUUGUUUGCAGACUUGUAACAACUUGUGCCGUUUUACGUGUGUAGUUUAAUUCAUUAUUCAGACACUGUAGAAAUUCGUUCGAACUCGCAUUUUCGGUUUAAAAGCCCGAAAAUGUGAGGUGAAAUUUUAUAUUUAUUUAAUUUAUAUUUAGUUAAAGAAACUUUGUAUUAUAGCAAAAUAAUAUAAGAAA
rnacentral:lncRNA from 1 species